ACCAUGCAAGUCGAACGGCAGCGCGGGUGCUUGCACCUGGCGGCGAGUGGCGAACGGGUGAGUAAUACAUCGGAACGUGCCCUAGAGUGGGGGAUAACUAGUCGAAAGAUUAGCUAAUACCGCAUACGAUCUACGGAUGAAAGUGGGGGACCGCAAGGCCUCAUGCUCCUGGAGCGGCCGAUGUCUGAUUAGCUAGUUGGUGGGGUAAUGGCCUACCAAGGCGACGAUCAGUAGCUGGUCUGAGAGGACGACCAGCCACACUGGGACUGAGACACGGCCCAGACGCCUACGGGAGGCAGCAGUGGGGAAUUUUGGACAAUGGGGGCAACCCUGAUCCAGCAAUGCCGCGUGUGUGAAGAAGGCCUUCGGGUUGUAAAGCACUUUUGUCAGGAACGAAACGGUGGGGGCUAAUACCCUCUGCUAAUGACGGUACCUGAAGAAUAAGCACCGGCUAACUACGUGCCAGCAGCCGCGGUAAUACGUAGGGUGCGAGCGUUAAUCGGAAUUACUGGGCGUAAAGCGUGCGCAGGCGGUUGUGCAAGACAGAUGUGAAAUCCCCGGGCUCAACCUGGGAAUGGCAUUUGUGACUGCACGGCUAGAGUGUGUCAGAGGGGGGUAGAAUUCCACGUGUAGCAGUGAAAUGCGUAGAUAUGUGGAGGAAUACCGAUGGCGAAGGCAGCCCCCUGGGAUAACACUGACG
rnacentral:rRNA from 1 species